rnacentral:lncRNA from 1 species
UACAAGACUGGAGGUUAACAUAGACGGCAAACAUUUCCUCAGAUUAUAAACUAUACAUGAAUGAGCAGGCUAGUACACAUGAAUCAGCAAGAUUGUUUGUUCAUAUCUUCAGGAUUUUUAAAUGUCAAUCUGUCCAUUUCUUCAGGCUUACUUGCUUCUUCAACUCAGCUGACUAAAAGCUAACAAAAAAACAUGAAUAAGCACUCUGAGUCAGAAUUCGAAACUUGGCAAAUUUUAGAAGUACAAUACGGAGAAAAAUGAGCUGAGUUAAAUAAAAGUACAUUACAAAGAUGCCAUUUUUUACACAAUUAUAGAACACAAGGAUGCAUUCAGUAAAUCAUAGGAGAAAAGAACUUAAGGAAAUUUCGGUAACACUUGUAAACUUGUUUUGUUAUCUUCUGCACAUCAUUCAGGUCCUACUGGAAGGUGUGCGUGAUGCUUGUAGGCAAAAGAAACAACACUGUGUAGUACAUGAUCCGGAUUUGAGAAGGUUAAAUGACUGAAUUAUUUUUUGAUUCAGGCCAAAAAAUAAUACACUAUGUAGUACAUGUACGCACAACAGAAUAGAUGAUUCAGGCCAAAAAAACAUAAGAAAUUUACCAUUGUGUCUAAUCAAGCUAUAUAUGCAUACCUUGGAUCUUCUUCCUCUGGCAUGCAUAAAAUUGGAUACAUAAAUAAGAAAGCCCUCCUGACAAAUCUGAUCAGUCGAGUCUUUCAGUUACUCUUUGCAGACUCUGCACAAAUAUGCACUCUGCUCCAUCAGUACAACCAGUAAGUCAUUGUAAACCUGUGGCCAAUGCCCUUGUUAUAAAUGCAUUCUGCUUCCAUCUUCCAUCGGCCCAGCAUGCUAAUGCAUAGCUCGAAAGAUGAAACCCUGGAGAGGGAUAUGAUGCCAAAGCACCUGUCAUCGUCCGAUCACAUGAAUCUAGAGUUUCCUCCGAAGCAGCAUAAAUUGCGGCUGAGAAUACCUCGGCGAUGCCCAUAGGAAGGAAGCGACACUCGAAAGCUUCGCCAUCACCGGCUCUUGGAAACUCCGGAGACAAGCUUUCGCCCAGAUCAACCUCUUGAGCUCCGCACAACAUGCACCAGCAAGUCCAACGUCGAGCCACGAUGGCCAAAUCCGUCCGGAUCUAACCACCUGCUCACCAGGGCACCGCACUGGCCACCCCACGUCCUCUUCACGCACCGCCGAAGCACAUGCACACACGCAGCCGCCCACACAUCCACCUGUCCAGGACGCCGCCGAGGAGCACACCAGCCGGAACCGCGCAUCGCAGAUACACCCAGCCCCUCCCCCCUUCUUGAUUAGUCCACCAACGAGCCCUCGUGGACAGAUGUGGCCCAAUCAAGCCCUCCCUCCAACUCCUCGGUAGGAUGCUGCCCAACCAUCCCUCUACCGCCGGACUACCACGCCAGCGCUCCCCAUGUUGUUGUUGAACUUGUAGCCAUACGAUUUGUAUUGCCUGACAGAUGAAUAUUUACCAGAUAAACACGUAAAGAAGAUAAGCCGCUCUUCAUUCCUAUAAGCCCUUAGUAGACCAUCAGAUCCUUCUUUUUGCACAUGCACGCCAUAUUAUUGCAGAGAUGAUGGGGGAAGCAAAGAAGUUAUGCCUCUCUGUGCGUGCAUUGCGAGGAACCCCCAACAAGUAUUGAACUCUUGAUAUGAAUCCUUGUCGGGAGGGGCAAGCAAGGAUGAUAAAUCAUCUAGGGUAACAUGAAAAGGUUAAGUGAUGUUGCUGCACCUCAAGUGUUCUUAGGAAUCCUCGUGGUUCCUCUUGAUUAUGCAUCUUCAUGAACAAAACAAAAUCUUGAGCUCUUCGUUC